AUUGAACGCUGGCGGCAGGCUUAACACAUGCAAGUCGAACGAGUGGCGGACGGGUGAGUAAUGCUUGGGAAUCUGGCUUAUGGAGGGGGAUAACGACGGGAAACUGUAGCUAAUACCGCGUACCAUAGGAUGAGCCCAAGUGGGAUUAGGUAGUUGGUGGGGUAAAGGCCUACCAAGCCGACGAUCUCUAGCUGGGCUGAGAGGAUGACCAGCCACAACGGGACUGAGAAACGGCCCGGACUCCUACGUGAGGCAGCAGUGGGGAAUAUUGCGCAAUGGGGGCAACCUGACGCAGCCAUGCCGCGUGAAUGAAGAAGGCCUUCGGGUUGUAAAGUUCUUUCGGUGACGAGGCGUUAAUCACAGAAGAAGCACCGGCUAACUCCGUGCCAGCCGCCGCGGUAAUUC
rnacentral:rRNA from 1 species